CCUACGGGAGGCUGCAGUGGGGAAUAUUGGACAAUGGGGGCAACCCUGAUCCAGCCAUGCCGCGUGUGUGAAGAAGGCCCUCGGGUUGUAAAGCACUUUCAGUGAGGAAGAACGCCUGGUGGUUAAUACCCAUCAGGAAAGACAUCACUCACAGAAGAAGCACCGGCUAACUCCGUGCCAGCAGCCGCGGUAAUACGGAGGGUGCGAGCGUUAAUCGGAAUUACCGGGCGUAAAGCGCGCGUAGGUGGCUUGAUAAGCCGGUUGUGAAAGCCCCGGGCUCAACCUGGGAACGGCAUCCGGAACUGUCAAGCUAGAGUGCAGGAGAGGAAGGUAGAAUUCCCGGUGUAGCGGUGAAAUGCGUAGAGAUCGGGAGGAAUACCAGUGGCGAAGGCGGCCUUCUGGACUGACACUGACACUGAGGUGCGAAAGCGUGGGUAGCAAACAGGAUUAGAUACCCUGGUAGUC
rnacentral:rRNA from 1 species